rnacentral:rRNA from 1 species
AUGGAUCACCUUCAGUCCCAGACUGUAUCCGGGGCACAUCCGCCGCCCGGACCCAAAUGGCAGCAGCUCGAAGUCAUGCCCCUUGAUGUCAAUCUUGCUGCCGACGAACCGUUCCGGUACGAACUCCUCCGGCGAAUCCCACACUGCCGGGUCACGGCCGAUGGACCACACGUUGAUGAGCACGCGCGUACCAACGGGGAUGUUGUAGCCACCGACGGAAGCGUCCUCACGGGACAAACGGGGUGCCAGCAUGGGCGCCACCGGGUGCAGCCGCAUGGUUUCUUUGACGAUGGCCUCCACAUAGGGAAGGCUGGGGAUGUCGUCCUCCGUCACCCAUCGUUCUCGCCCCACCACACGGUCCAGCUCCUCUGUGGCCUUGGAGAACACCUCGGGUUUCUUGAGCAUCUGCGACAUGGCCCACUCCACUGUGAUCGCCGUGGUUUCCGUGCCACCGGCGAUGAGGUCAACGGGUAA